CAGUAGCCGCGGGAAUACGAAGGGGGCUAGCGUUGUUCGGAAUCACUGGGCGUAAAGCGCACGUAGGCGGACUUUUAAGCCAGGGGUGAAAUCCCAAGGCUCAACCUUGGAACUGCCUUUGAUACUGGAAGUCUUGAGUUCGGGAGAGGUGAGUGGAACUGCGAGUGUAGAGGUGAAAUUCGUAGAUAUUCGCAAGAACACCAGUGGCGAAGGCGGCUCACUGGCCCGAUACUGACGCUGAGGUGCGAAAGCGUGGGGAGCAAACAGGAUUAGAUACCCGUGUAGUCCCUGUCUCUUAUAC
rnacentral:rRNA from 1 species